UGUAGCGUGUGCAGCGUGUAGUGUGUAGCGUGCAGCGUGUAGUGUGUAGCGUGCAGCGUGUAGUGUGUAGCGUGCAGCCUGACACUUGAUGUAAGUGAAGUGAAUAUUUGCAUGUUUGAAUGUGUGCAGAGUUCAGCCUCCUGCUCUCUGUCUGCAGGUGGAACAUGAACAGGUGUAAGGAUCCUAAUGAACAGGUGUAAGGAUCCUAAUGAACAGGUGUAAGGAUCCUAAUGAACAGGUGUAAUGGUGAAUAAAGGCUGAAGUGAUUUGUCAGGUGUUAACAGUGAUGACUCACACCUGACAAUAUUCCAUGUUGUGCUGCAGGAUAAUUGCAGCGUGCGGCUGCAGCUCGAUGAAGCUCUGUCUGUAUUUCUGUCAUUAUUUGGCCCUGAAGAGCUGCUGCUUGUUGUUUCUCUCAUGUUGUAAUCACAGCUUGUAAAGUGCCUCAGCUUGAAGAAGUCAUUUCAUUUUUCUUUUUUUUUUCUGUUUGCAGCAAGAAAACGUUAAAGAGAAAAGCAGCGUGUUCACUUCACUUCACUUCACUUCACUUCACUUCACUUCACUUCACUUCACUUCACUUCAGUUCACUUCAGUGGCUUUCUGUUAGCAUCUUUAGCAUCUGUUAGCAUCUUUAGCAUCUGUUAGCAUCUUUAGAGAUGGUAAUAAAACAGAAAAACUGUGUCCUUCUGCUGUUUUCAGGUGUUUUCAGGUGUUUGCAGGUGUUUUUGGGUAUUUUCAGGUGUUUGCAGAGGUUUUAAGGUGUUUGCAGGUGUUUGCAGGUGUUUGCAGAGAUUUUCAGAUGUUUGCAGGUGUUUUCAGGUGUUUUCAGGUGUUUUUGGAUGUUUGCAGAGGUUUUAAGGUGUUUGCAGGUGUUUUCAGAUGUUUGCAGGUGUUUUCAGAUGUUUGCAGAUGUUUGCAGAGGUUUUAAGGUGUUUGCAGGUGUUUUCAGAUGUUUGCAGGUGUUUUCAGAUGUUUGCAGGUAUUUGCAGGUGUUUUGGAUGUUUGCAGGUGUUUGCAGAGGUUUUCAGAUGUUUGCAGGUGUUUUCAGAUGUUUGCAGAGGUUUUCAGAUGUUUGCAGGUGUUUUCAGAUGUUUGCAGAGGUUUUCAGAUGUUUGCAGGUGUUUGCAGAGGUUUUAAGGUGUUUGCAGGUGUUUGCAGAGGUUUUCAGAUGUUUGCAGGUGUUUUCAGAUGUUUGCAGAGGUUUUCAAAUGUUUGCAGGUGUUUUCAGAUGUUUGCAGAUAUUUUCAGGUGUUUUCAGAUGUUUGCAGAGGUUUUCAGAUGUUUGCAGGUGUUUGCAGGUGUUUUCAGGUGUUUUUGGAUGUUUGCAGAGGUUUUCAGAUGUUUGCAGGUGUUUGCAGAGGUUUUAAGGUGUUUGCAGGUGUUUUCAGAUGUUUGCAGAUAUUUUCAGGUGUUUUCGGGUGUUUGCAGGUGUUUUCGGGUCUUUUUAUGUGCUUGCAGGUGUUUCCAGGUGUUGUGGUGCUCCUGUUUCAGUAUCAAAUGUGACGCUGCUGUAAACCUGAAAUCUGUUUUAUUCUUUUGUUUUAUAUUUAAAUUCUUUUCUUUACUCUCUCUUAAAAUGUUCAUUGAAAUAAUAAAAAAACAAAGAUGA